rnacentral:rRNA from 1 species
UCAUGGCCCUUAUGGGUAGGGCUACACACGUCAUACAAUGGCCGGUACAGAGGGCUGCCAACCCGCGAGGGGGAGCCAAUCCCAGAAAACCGGUCGUAGUCCGGAUCGCAGUCUGCAACUCGACUGCGUGAAGUCGGAAUCGCUAGUAAUCGCGGAUCAGAUUGCCGCGGUGAAUACGUUCCCGGGUCUUGUACACACCGCCCGUCACACCAUGG